rnacentral:pre_miRNA from 1 species
GUGUUUGGAAUGGUCUCGUUAGCUAACGGAUGAACAUUAACCAAAGCGCACCUUACGGCGUAGUGUAGUUUCGAGACCACUCUAAUCCAUU